AGCGAACGCUGGCGGCAGGCCUAACACAUGCAAGUCGAACGGACCCUUCGGGGUUAGUGGCGGACGGGUGAGUAACACGUGGGAACGUGCCUUUUGGUUCGGAACAACUCAGGGAAACUUGAGCUAAUACCGGAUGUGCCCUUCGGGGGAAAGAUUUAUCGCCAUUAGAGCGGCCCGCGUCUGAUUAGCUAGUUGGUGAGGUAAAGGCUCACCAAGGCGACGAUCAGUAGCUGGUCUGAGAGGAUGAUCAGCCACACUGGGACUGAGACACGGCCCAGACUCCUACGGGAGGCAGCAGUGGGGAAUCUUGCGCAAUGGGCGAAAGCCUGACGCAGCCAUGCCGCGUGAAUGAUGAAGGUCUUAGGAUUGUAAAAUUCUUUCACCGGGGACGAUAAUGACGGUACCCGGAGAAGAAGCUCCGGCUAACUUCGUGCCAGCCGCCGCCGUAACAC
rnacentral:rRNA from 1 species